rnacentral:rRNA from 1 species
CCUGUAAGCGGGGAAUAACUCGUGAAAGACGGACUAAUACCGCAUAAUACUAAAUUACUGCAUGGUAAUUUAUUUAAACAUUUAUGGCUUACAGAUGGGCAUGCGCAUGAUUAGCUAGUUGGAGAGGUAACGGCUCCCCAAGGCAACGAUCAUUAGGGGUUCUGAGACGGAAGGUCCCCCACACUGGUACUGAGACACGGACCAGACUCCUACGGGAGGCAGCAGUGAGGAAUAUUGGUCAAUGGACGAGAGUCUGAACCAGCCAAGUCGCGUGCAGGAAGAAUGUUACCCUAUGGAUUGUAAACUGCUUUUGCAGGGGAAUAAAGUGCAUCACGUGUGAUGUUUUGUAUGUACUCUGCGAAUAAGGAUCGGCUAACUCCGUGCCAGCCGCCGC